rfam:Danio rerio chromosome 19, GRCz11 reference primary assembly.
CUUGUCCUCAUUUGUACGUCGCUUUGGAUAAAAGUGUCUGCUAAAUGACUAAAU